GAUGAAGAACGUAGCUAAAUGCGAUAAGUAAUGUGAAUUGCAGAAUUCAGUGAAUCAUCGAGUCUUUGAACGCACAUUGCGCCCCCUGGUAUUCCGGGGGGCAUGCCUGUCCGAGCGUCAUUGCUGCCCUCAAGCACGGCUUGUGUGUUGGGCCCCCGUCCCCGGUUUCCCCCGGGGACGGGCCCGAAAGGCAGCGGCGGCACCGCGUCCGGUCCUCGAGCGUAUGGGGCUUUGUCACCCGCUCUGUAGGCCCGGCCGGCGCCAGCCGACACCCAACUUUAUUUCUAAGGUUGACCUCGGAUCAGGUAGGGAUACCCGCUGAACUUAAGCAUAUCAAUAAGCGGAGGA
rnacentral:misc_RNA from 1 species